UUCCCUCAGAUUUCACAGCACACAACGUCAGACUGGAGCAUCAAUGGUGGUCAAGCUCCAGUCUGCACACAGGCCUCUGUUUCAAAACAAAUAGAGAAUAAUGGAAAGAUGACAAGUCAGGUCAUCAAUUCUUGCCACUAUCUGAUCGAUGACAUGCUGGGUGAAGGAUCCUUUGGAACUGUGUACAAGGGGCGACGUCUACACGAUGACUUAAAGGUGGCAGUGAAAUUUGUCACAAAGACGGAAGAUGUGGAAUACAUACGUAUCUCGGGUCAUUCAGAGCCCUUUCCUCUUGAAGUUGCACUUCUCAUCCUCGCCCAUGGAGUAUCCAGCGUUCCAGAAAUAAUCCAGCUUCUGGACUGGCAGGACCAGGAGGACCAUUAUAUAAUGGUGUUGGAAUACCCUUCACCCUGUGAGGACCUAUAUGCUUUCACAGAAAGCUAUGGAGGAUCCCUAAGUGAAGGUUUAGCGCGUGUUGUUAUGCAGCAGGCAACUCAAGCUGCAUACAUGUGCUGCCGCAAUGGUGUUCUACAUCGCGAUAUCAAACUUGAAAAUCUACUAAUCAACAAGGAGACUCAUAAAGUCAAAUUAAUAGACUUUGGGUGUGGAGACCUUCUCAAGAAAUUACCCUACGAUACAUUUGCCGGCACCCUUGAGUACUGCCCCCCAGAGUUUGAGGAAACGGGUGAAUACAAUGGGAAGCCGGCAACAGUCUGGUCCCUUGGCAUCCUCUUGUUUGUAUUGGUGUGUGAGGACUUUCCCAACCCUCAAGAACUGCACAUGAUCAAUGAGAACAACUUCUCCAAAGCUGGCUUGUCCGAUGAAUGCUGUCAGUUGAUUAGUUGCUGUCUCCAGCAAAAGCCAGAGCUGCGGAUUCAAUUAAAAGAGAUUCUUCUCCACGAAUGGUUCAAGGACACCAACCUGGAGAACUGAAGAACAGCCACCCUACAUGUUAUUGUCUUGAGAGGAACGUUUCAGGCUGUUUGAGGCAGGAAAUCUUGAGCAGGAGGUGGCUCCUCUCAAAACAAACAAUAAAACAUAUGCAUUAAUUGAA